rnacentral:tRNA from 1 species
UCCGCCAUAGCUCAGUUGGUAGUAGCGCCAUGACUGUUAAUCAUGAUGUCGUAGGUUCGAGUCCUACUGGCGGAG